GUGAGGAAUAUUGGACAAUGGAUGGAAAUCUGAUCCAGCCAUGCCGCGUGCAGGAAGACGGCCCUAUGGGUUGUAAACUGCUUUUAUACGGGAGCAAUAAGGUCUAUGCAUAGAUUGAUGAGAGUACCGUAUGAAUAAGCAUCGGCUAACUCCGUGCCAGCAGCCGCGGUAAUACGGAGGAUGCGAGCGUUAUCCGGAUUGAUUGGGUUUAAAGGGUGCGUAGGCGGCUUUGUAAGUCAGCGGUGAAAUUUUGCAGCUUAACUGUAGAAGCUGCGUUGAUACUGUGAAGCUAGGAUUUGGUUGCUGUGGGCGGAAUGUGUGGUGUAGCGGUGAAAUGCAUAGAGAUCACACAGAAUAUCGAUUGCGAAGGCAGAUCACAAAGCAAAUAUUGACGCUGAGGCACGAAAGUGUGGGGAUCAAACAGGAUUAGAUACCCGUGUAGUCC
rnacentral:rRNA from 1 species